rnacentral:rRNA from 1 species
AUUGAACGCUGGCGGCAGGCCUAACACAUGCAAGUCGGACGGUAGCACAGAGGAGCUUGCUCCCCGGGUGACGAGUGGCGGACGGGUGAGUAAUGUCUGGGGAUCUGCCCGAUAGAGGGGGAUAACCACUGGAAACGGUGGCUAAUACCGCAUAACGUCGCAAGACCAAAGAGGGGGACCUUCGGGCCUCUCACUAUCGGAUGAACCCAGAUGGGAUUAGCUAGUAGGCGGGGUAACGGCCCACCUAGGCGACGAUCCCUAGCUGGUCUGAGAGGAUGACCAGCCACCCUGGAACUGGGACACGGUCCAGACUCGUACGGGAGGCAGCGGUGGGGAAUAUUGCACAAUGGGCGCAAGCCUGAUGCAGCCAUGCCGCGUGUAUGAAGAAGGCCGUCGGGUUGUAAAGUACUGUCAGCGGGGAGGAAGGCGAUGUGGUUAAUAACCGCAUUGAUUGACGUUACCCGCAGAAGAAGCACCGGCUAACUCCGUGCCAGCCGCCGCCGUAA